CUUUUUUUUUUUUUUUUUUUGAUAUAUUAGAAUGAAGUGUGUGAUUGUGAAUAGCAACCUACCCAAUUCACAAAUGCAAUUUGCUCUGUUUCUUUUCCCCAUCUUUGUUUCUCUGUUUUUGUUGUUUUACUGUGUUAAAGUUUGACUAGCUACUGCAUAUAGCUAGUUCCUUUUAUACCCAUCAAGUCAUUUUACUUGCCCACUAAAAUUUUAAUAUUAUUUUAUUCUCGAUCAACUUUAGUGGAGUUUCCUACCCUUGACACUUUGCACUAGCCUCUAAAACCCAUUUUAGCAUAUAUGAUAUACUAUUAUAUUGUAAAAAUGUCAUACCAUAACGUAUUUUUAUUCUCUAGUUAAUAUAUUAUAAUUUUUUUAUUCUUUAAUUAAUAGUUAUAAUUAUAUUAUGUGAUUUAUUUAAUGCUUGUAAAUAUUAAUUUAAGAAAUUAUGUAUUUAGCAUUUAAUGUUUAGCUUAGAUUAGUGUAAAAUUACCAUAUUCUAAAUUCUAAAACCACAUGAUUACUCCAUAUUUACAAAAUAUAUUAUGUUUUAAUAUAUUUUAUUUGGUUUACAUGGAUAUGUAUUAUUUUUAAUUGAUUUUGAAACUUUUUAUUUUCAAUUCGUAUCUGGAUAUGACAACUAUGCUUACUCAUGCAAUGAGUGUCCAGACUCUAGAGUUUACUCAAAAAAUGAGUGUUCAGAAAGUGAUUUGUAGUGUUAAGGGGGCUGGUUCUGAUGAGAAGUUCCCUCUAUCAUUCAGUUACAUGAAGCCUUAUUUGAAUGGAGCUAUGAGCUCUUCAUGUAUAAGAGCUACAAGAUGCAUAAAGUGAAAUCAUCAAACUUGUUGAUUUGUCCAAAAGAUGAUUAGCGUCUUGGAAAAUCUGAUUGAGAAUGGCAUCUAAAUCGCCGAAAACCAUGAUGGCUUCCUGUGAAACAAAAUUCUCUACUCUUAUCAAUAUGCCAACUUAGAAAAUUUGAUUGCAUAUCAUUUCAGUGAUCAAAUGUGAAUAUCCAUGAACUGAAAUUGUAAGAUUCUGACUACCGCCAAAUGAAAUCAUUAUAUCAUCAAGAACUUGAUAACAUUGCUUUUAUGCUGGAGUUUCCAUUUUCGAUUAUACUUAUCCUGUGUAGUCUCUUGUCAAUAAUUAACAUGUGUUUUUGUGCGUGUGCGUGUGUGUGCGUGUGAGAGAGAGA
rnacentral:misc_RNA from 1 species